UGGUGCAAUCAUAUCAGCACUAAUGCAUUGGAUUCAAUCAAAACUCCGUAGUUAAGCGUGCUUGGGCGAGAGUAGUACUAGGAUGGGUGACAUCCUGGGAAGUCCUCGUGUUGCACCCC